UGGCAGAUUUUUUGCUGGCUGCCGUCCUUUUUGGUUGAAAACAGCUAAUCAGAUGGAAUUUAAUACUUAUUGCCUGUUUUAAGCCAAUGUUUGACAAAUGAAAUGAAAUUUGAAAAAUCCUCACCUUUUCAACACAUCUUGAAGCAGAUGUACCUAUAGCUUUUAAGCAACGUGGUGACCUAUUGGGAAUUAUUAUUUGAAACAAUUAUUAUUUUGAUAGAUUUCGUGUGACUCAUUUAUGUUUGUUCAGUGUACAGAAGUGUUGAACUCUCUAUUAAACCUUCUACAAACAAAAGGAAAGGAAAGUGUCCCACAAGGGAUGAUGCUGGAAUUAGGAGCAGGUAUGUUGCCAUGGAAACCAGGGAAGUGCCUCUCGCCUCUCUCUCUGUGGCUUCAAUUUCCUCUGGAUCAUUCUUCAGUCCGGCCUCUGCAUUUUUCACCCUGCAACAAUAGAAAUGUCCUUGCAUCUCAGAGACAUCUUUAUUUCCCACCUCUGGGGUUGAUGACUAAUGCAGUGCAGCAUCGCUGUCCGGCAGAUGAGUAGCUGCAGGCAACACUAUGGAUAAGUGGAGCAUGAAAUACAGGGAGUGUGAGAGAGAUAGAUGGAGAGGAGCCUGUGCUGCUUAACUUAAUUCUUAACUCUGAUUUAUGUAAAACACGUGCAUGUGCAGAGAUAGUGCUACAUGCACACAAACAAACCAUCAGCCAUCAUGAUUUAAAGGAUGAGUUCACCCAAAUUACCCACAAGCAUGCUGUCACUG